rnacentral:lncRNA from 13 species
AUGGUAAAUGACAAACGAACAAUACCGCUUGGAUACAAAGAGGUUGAGGACUCGAGAAGAUGUGAAAGGUCCCAUAACAACGAUCUCCCCUUGUAUCAAAGUGACUCAGAACACCUCACUGCACCACCCAAAUACACCAUUUUCAAGUAUUCCCUUUAUAGAACUCUAGUAUUUAUUAAAGCGUUAGUAGUAUAUUUGUCUUUUGUAUAUGUCAUACAUUGCCAUAACUGUUCCUUCAUACUGAUGUGUAAACUCACCUCGGUCUCCAGAGCAAAUACAUGCUUUCUUGAAUACAAGCCACGUCUACUUAUGCUGUAGUAACCAGGUUUCCAUCUAAUUUGCGACAGACUUUCAUGCGAUUCAUCUAAAAUCGGCAUAAAUAAAAUAUGAACAUUUUCCCAGCAGAGAUGUUUCCAUCAAAUUGACUUGUUGCAGAUAAAAGUCUGUGCAUGAUGAUGUAGUGCACAUAAAAAAGUUUAAGUUUAAAAAAGUUUAAUUUAAAUUCCCAUUAAGUAAAUGCGUUUCCAUCACAUUUUCAACCCUACUGAUGGUUUUGUAUAGUGAAUGUGCACUAUCCCGUAUUGGCAUGUGCGCUCUAAAAAAACAGCUUGCGGAUACAGUGCAGGUAUAGCCUACAUGAUGAGAUUAUUAUUGACAAAUGGCAGCCAAGCAUCGAUCAUCACGUCACCAGAAUAGGACCCUCAAUAUUUAUUGGAAAGGAGCAUCAAGCUAAUCACCUUGCACUUUCACCACCCUGUGAAGUUCAUCAUAACUUAUUUCAUAUGGAAAGUCCAAUAAAUUGCAUGAUUUCCCGAGUCGUAGUGGAAGGACCACAGCAUAUCUUCACGUGAUUAAGUUUACUUCGAUAUGAUGGUUAUUACGCUGAUCAAAAAUAUAAACGCAGCCUGCAACAAUUUCAGUUAUUUUAGUUAUAGUUCAUAUAAUGAAAUCAGUCACUUGAAAUAAAGUCAUUAGGAACUAAUUUAUGGAUUUCACAUGAUUGAGAAUACAGAUAUGCAUCUGUUAGUCACAGAUACCUUAAAGGUAGGUGUGGAUCAGAAACCAGUCAGUGACCACCAUUUCCCUCAUGCAGUGUGACAUCUCUUUCCCAUAGAGUUUGAUCAGGCUGUUGAUUGUGGCCUGUGAAAUGUUGUCCCACUCCUCUUCAAUGGUUGUGUGAAG